rnacentral:rRNA from 1 species
UACGGAGGGUGCAAGCGUUAUCCGGAUUCACUGGGUUAAAGGGUGCGUAGGCGGGUAUGUAAGUCAGUGGUGAAAUCCCCGAGCUUAACUCGGGAACUGCCAUUGAUACUAUAUAUCUUGAAUGUUCUGGAGGUAUGCGGAAUAUGUCAUGUAGCGGUGAAAUGCUUAGAGAUGACAUAGAACACCUAUUGCGAAGGCAGCAUACUACGGAAAUAUUGACGCUGAGGCACGAAAGUGUGGGGAUCAAACAGG